CCUACGGGCGGCAGCAGUGGGGAAUAUUGGACAAUGGGCGCAAGCCUGAUCCAGCCAUGCCGCGUGAGUGAUGAAGGCCUUAGGGUUGUAAAGCUCUUUCAGUAGGGAAGAUAAUGACGGUACCUACAGAAGAAGCCCCGGCUAACUUCGUGCCAGCAGCCGCGGUAAUACGAAGGGGGCUAGCGUUGUUCGGAUUUACUGGGCGUAAAGCGCACGUAGGCGGAUUGUUAAGUUAGGGGUGAAAUCCCAGGGCUCAACCCUGGAACUGCCUUUAAUACUGGCAAUCUAGAGUCCGGAAGAGGUGAGUGGAACUCCUAGUGUAGAGGUGGAAUUCGUAGAUAUUAGGAAGAACACCAGUGGCGAAGGCGGCUCACUGGUCCGGUACUGACGCUGAGGUGCGAAAGCGUGGGGAGCAAACAGGAUUAGAUACCCGAGUAGUC
rnacentral:rRNA from 1 species